ensembl:ncRNA lncRNA:CR45514 long non-coding RNA:CR45514
AGCCAUUCGCCAACGCGCCGCGGCGCUGAUAAGACGCGGCUCCAACUGACAGCUCGACAGCUCGGCAACUUGGCAGCGGGAACGGGGCAACUGAACUUAUGAUUACUGAGCAGCUGAACAACCGAAUGACUGAGCAUCUGGGAAACUGAGAAACUGAGAAGCCGAGCAACAGGCAACUGCAACUACAACUGCAGCCUGUUGCGUCUGAUGUCUGAUAACAAGCCGAAUGCCAAAUGUAUGCCAAAUCAAGUGCAUUGAACUCGAGCGGGGCCACAGCGUCGCUGCCGACGCUGGCAGCGAAUGCGGCUGCGACGGCAACGUCGACUGAGACAGCGGCUGCGACUGCGCAGCCCCGAGAGUCACAUAUCCUGCUGUCAGUCCUUUGGAUUUUCUCAGCUUUUCCGCAGCGGAAACUUGGACUUUCGGUGGCGAGUUCAAUGACACUUCACCUACUUGUUUUCAAAUUUGGUAGUGCUGUGGCGGCACUGCCAACACUUUCCGAGCUGAUAAAUAGGCUAUUAAUAAGUUAUUCUUUAAAGUACAUAGCUUUUAUACAUAAUUUAUUGAAUUAAUGCCGUUCAUUUAUAACAAUUGAUAUGUUUAUUUGGAUAAGCACUGGAAUUAAGUAAGGAACAGACCAUUUUGAUUAAU